GACGAACGCUGGCGGCGUGCCUAAUACAUGCAAGUUGAGCGCUGAAGGUUGGUACUUGUACCCACUGGAUGAGCAGCGAACGGGUGAGUAACGCGUGGGGAAUCUGCCUUUUAGCGGGGGACAACAUUUGGAAACGAAUGCUAAUACCGCAUAAAAACUUUAAACACAAGUUUUAAGUUUGAAAGAUGCAAUUGCAUCACUCAAAGAUGAUCCCGCGUUGUAUUAGCUAGUUGGUGAGGUAAAGGCUCACCAAGGCGAUGAUACAUAGCCGACCUGAGAGGGUGAUCGGCCACAUUGGGACUGAGACACGGCCCAAACUCCUACGGGAGGCAGCAGGAGGGAAUCUUCGGCAAUGGACGAAAGUCUGACCGAGCAACGCCGCGUGAGGGAAGAAGGUUUUCGGAUCGUAAAACUCUGUUGGUAGAGAAGAACGUUGGUGAGAGUGGAAAGCUCAUCAAGUGACGGUAACUACCCAGAAAGGGACGGCUAACUACGUG
rnacentral:rRNA from 1 species